rnacentral:rRNA from 1 species
UACGAAGGGGACUAGCGUUGUUCGGAAUCACUGGGCGUAAAGCGCACGUAGGCGGAUUCGUAAGUCAGGGGUGAAAUCCCGGGGCUCAACCUCGGAACUGCCUUUGAUACUGCGGGUCUUGAGUCCGAUAGAGGUGGGUGGAAUUCCUAGUGUAGAGGUGAAAUUCGUAGAUAUUAGGAAGAACACCGGUGGCGAAGGCGGCUCACUGGCUCAUAUCUGACGCUCAGGCGCGACAGCGUGGGGAGCAAACAGG